rnacentral:rRNA from 1 species
AUUGAACGCUGGCGGAAUGCUUUACACAUGCAAGUCGAACGGCAGCACGGGUGCUUGCACCUGGUGGCGAGUGGCGAACGGGUGAGUAAUGCGUCGGAACGUACCGAGUAAUGGGGGAUAACGCAGCGAAAGUUGUGCUAAUACCGCAUACGCCCUCCGGGGGAAAGCAGGGGAUCGCAAGACCUUGCGUUAUUCGAGCGGCCGACGUCUGAUUAGCUAGUUGGUGAGGUAAUGGCUCACCAAGGCGACGAUCAGUAGCGGGUCUGAGAGGAUGAUCCGCCACACUGGGACUGAGACACGGCCCAGACUCCUACGGGUGGCAG